UUUCCGGUUGAUCCUGCCGGACCUGACUGCUAUCGGAUUGAUACUAAGCCAUGCUAGUCUUUGUAGUAAUACAAGGCAUACGGCUCAGUAACGCGUAGUCAACCUACCCUAUGGACGGGGAUAAUCUCGGGAAACUGAGCAUAAUACCCGGCAGACCACUUAUCCUGGAAUGGUUAGUGGUUAAAAUGAUUCGUCGCCAUAGGAUGGGACUGCGGCCUAUCAGCUUGUUGGUGAGGUAAUGGCCCACCAAGGCGAUUACAGGUACGGGCUCUGAGAGGAGAGGCCCGGAGAUGGGUACUGAGACAAGGACCCAGGCCCUAUGGGGCGCAGCAGGCGAGAAAACUUUGCAAUGUGCGAAAGCACGACAAGGUUAAUCCGAGUGAUUUCUGCUAAAGGAAUCUUUUGUUAGUUCUAAAAAUACUAGUGAAUAAGGGGUGGGCAAGUUCUGGUGUCAGCCGCCGCGGUAAAACCAGCACCUCAAGUGGUCAGGAGGAUUAUUGGGCCUAAAGCAUCCGUAGCCUGUUCUAUAAGUUUGCGGUUAAAUCUAUACGCUCAACGUAUAGGCUGCCGUAAAUACUGUAGAACUAGGGAGUGGGAGAGGUAGACGGUACUCGAUAGGAAGGGGUAAAAUCCUUUGAUCUAUUGAUGACCACCUGUGGCGAAGGCGGUCUACCAGAACACGUUCGACGGUGAGGGAUGAAAGCUGGGGGAGCAAACCGGAUUAGAUACCCGGGUAGUCCCAGCUGUAAACGAUGCAGACUCGAUGAUGCAAUGGCAUAGAGCUAUUGCAGUAUCGCAGGGAAGCCGUUAAGUUUGCCGCCUGGGAAGUACGUACGCAAGUAUGAAACUUAAAGGAAUUGGCGGGGGAGCACCACAAGGGGUGAAGCCUGCGGUUCAAUUGGAGUCAACGCCGGAA
rnacentral:rRNA from 1 species